GGUUUGCGAGGAGAGACAGCGGCAGAGCAUAGUCGUGCUGUACCUGGUGGCUUGUUUCAUUGCAUGCCGAGGUUUGCGUCUCGCGAACCAGCAAUCUAUGCCGUUUCCAACAACAGGUGCAUGUGGCAUUAAGUUUCAUCCCUCGGGUCCCAACACUUCAGUGCACCUUCGCGAGGAUGCAACUUGCGGCCAUGCACGAGAGGUGGUGGGUCAGAUUUGAACUGAUUCUAUGGUGUGACAAGGUAUACCUUCUUGUUUUGCAUGGAAUAUAUUGUUGAUGUAAUGCUUACAAUCCUGUGAGCGAUACAGUGAUUGUUUUAGUUUGAACUAUUCAUUUAUUUAGUGAUGUGUGACAAACUAGGACGCAUCAUGUUUUGGACGUAGGUGUUAUUUGAUGUGCGGGAGGGCAAGGAUUGAAACCCUAUGAAAAUAACGCUUUGCAGAGUUGAAGUUGUAAUCCAAGUACGCUAUUACGAAAUGACGUGUACAGAAGUGAAGACAGAAGAUGAGGGAUCAUGAAUGAGACUUGAUAUGCUGGCAGAACUACAUUUGAAUAGAAUGUACCAUAGAUUUUUAUGAUUUAUUUUCACAUCUUCAUGAUCUGGUGUUUUUGCCAUUGUCUAGUAAGUGGUGUGUAGCUUUGUUUAAGGAAAGGUUGUUAAAUAAAUUUCAACCUGGUUUAGUUUCAUGUCAAUAUUAUGGCUUUUUGUAUAGAGUAUUUUGUAGCUAAAUUAAAUGUUGAAGAAGUUUAUUUUAAAAAAUUAUAUUGUGAUUCAUCUUCAUAGGUUCAUUUUUUUAUUAAAUAAUUAUGAAAUU
rnacentral:lncRNA from 1 species